UGUUCCCUACGGGGGGCAGCAGUGGGGAAUAUUGGGCAAUGGAGGCAACUCUGACCCAGCAAUGCCGCGUGAGUGAUGAAGGUAAUUUUAUUGUAAAGCUCUUUUCUUUGGAACGAAUAAAUGACGGUACCAAAGGAAUAAGCCCCGGCUAACUACGUGCCAGCAGCCGCGGUAAUACGUAGGUGGCAAGCGUUAUCCGGAUUUAUUGGGUGUAAAGGGCGUGUAGGCGGGAGCGCAAGUCAGAUGUGAAAACUCAGGGCUCAACCCUGAGCCUGCAUUUGAAACUGUGUUUCUUGAGUGCUGGG
rnacentral:rRNA from 1 species